ensembl:lincRNA
AUGAGUUCAUUUUCUCUCCACCAUAACUCUCUGAAUUUGGUGCUUUCCUAUUCCCAUUUUACAGAUAAAGGAAUGGAGGCAAAGUUCACAGAAAAGUUAAGGUCGCAUAGGUAGUAAGAAGUAGAGCUGGAUUCCGAACUCCGACCCAGAGCUCUUGUUCUUCACAACAAAGAUACACUAUCUCUCAGCCAUAAAUGUCCCACUGGCAAUCGGAAAUACCAGACACAGCUAAGAGGUUUGAUCACCCAGCAAAUGUGGCAGUUCCCUAAAUAGAGGUGACAGAUGGAAAGCCCGAGGAGCAUGGAAGGAGUAGAGAGCUGGAGCACCAAGAAACACUGGCCGACUUAACUAACCCAAGAGGGCCUUAUCUUGGUCUGACAGUCUGAUUGCACUCUCUGCCUUCAAGACCUGGCUCAACUCCUUUGAGAAGUCUUCCAAGAUUGCAACAACCCCUCUCCAGGAGAGUUCCUUUCCUCCUUGGAGUUCCCACCACCCUUCUUGCACACCAAGGACAUGUUUGUCACUUUGCAUUGUUAACAUCUGUUCACAUGUCCUGCCUCUGGACACCAAGCUUCUCCAUGGAGAGGACUAUCUGUCACACAUGUGCAUACGCAACUCUGUUCUCAGUGCUGGACAAGAACCCAGGAGUUGUGGUUGAAUAAAUGAAUACAUGAUUCAAUAAUUGGGUCAGAAUUUCU